UACGUAGGGAGCAAGCGUUGUUCGGAUUUACUGGGCGUAAAGGGCGCGUAGGCGGCAAUUCAAGUCAGCUGUGAAAUCUCCGGGCUUAACUCGGAACGGUCAGCUGAUACUGCUUUGCUAGAGUGCGGAAGGGGCAAUCGGAAUUCUCGGUGUAGCGGUGAAAUGCGUAGAUAUCAAGAGGAACACCUGAGGUGAAGACGGGUUGCUGGGCUGACACUGACGCUGAGGCGCGAAAGCUAGGGUAGCAAACGGG
rnacentral:rRNA from 1 species